GACGAACGCUGGCGGCGUGCUUAACACAUGCAAGUCGAACGGAAAGGCCCUGCUUUUGUGGGGUGCUCGAGUGGCGAACGGGUGAGUAACACGUGAGUAACCUGCCCUUGACUUCGGGAUAACUUCAGGAAACUGGGGCUAAUACCGGAUAGGAGCUCCUGCUGCAUGGUGGGGGUUGGAAAGUUUCGGCGGUUGGGGAUGGACUCGCGGCUUAUCAGCUUGUUGGUGGGUAGUGGCUUACCAAGGCUUUGACGGGUAGCCGGCCUGAGAGGGUGACCGGCCACAUUGGGACUGAGAUACGGCCCAGACUCCUACGGGAGGCAGCAGUGGGGAAUAUUGCACAAUGGGCGGAAGCCUGAUGCAGCAACGCCGCGUGCGGGAUGACGGCCUUCGGGUUGUAAACCGCUUUCGCCUGUGACGAAGCGUGAGUGACGGUAAUGGGUAAAGAAGCACCGGCUAACUACGUG
rnacentral:rRNA from 1 species